GGGUUGUGUUGUUAGCGAGCAACGAGGCCGGACUUGAGGGAGAGAGAGAGAGAGAGAGCUGGAAGUCGUCGGCGUUGUCAGGAGAUCUAGAGGAGGGGUGGGAGAAGAAGCCCGGGAGCGAUCGGAGUUCUGCAUGCGGACGCCGCAACCGGAGCAGAAGGGGAGCAGGGGAGGAGGGUCGCCGGAGUCCUCGUGGUAGUAGCCACCGCGGAGGGCGGAGAGGUGAGGGAAGGGACGGUAGGAAGACGGCGGCGAUGGUUUUGGAGGCCCGACGAGAAGGGGCGAGGGAGAGAGAGGAGC
rnacentral:lncRNA from 1 species